GGAACUCUUUCCCUCUCAUAAACCCUAAGUCACUAAAAUUCCAUCAAUUAAAGGCGAAAUUAGCAAGGAAUCGGAUGCAUGAGCAAGGAAUUUUGAUGUACUAAGUGUUCUUAACCUCAAGAUAUGCGUCGUAUUAGCAAGGGAUCAAGCAUGGAAAGCUAACGGGUCAAGAGGAGACAAGGAAGGGAAUACGAAAACGGACGCUCAAGGAUCGAGUACAUCAGAUUCUUACGAAAUUUAAGCCCAACCCGGAAUAAGAGGAUGAGUGAUACACGGACUUCUUCUGCUACUUAGGAAGUGAAGCGGACAUAGAUCGAGUCAAGAGCAAGGAUUGCACGGAUAGAUCGAUCGUAUAGUUGAAAUAUAUAAUGUCUAGAAAUGUAAAUUUUAAUAUGAAUGUUGUGAAUUCUUUUAUAGUACGUUUAACAUUUUAGCUUUUGGAACCUUCUCAAAAGUAAUGUCGUUAACAAG